rnacentral:rRNA from 1 species
GCUUGUCUCAAAGAUUAAGCCAUGCAUGUCUCAGUAUAAGUUCCUGUACGGCGAAACUGCGAAUGGCUCAUUAAAACAGUUAUAGUUUAUUUGAUGGUCGUUCCUUACAUGGAUAACUGUGGUAAUUCUAGAGCUAAUACAUGCACCCAUGCCCGACUUUGUGGAAGGGUUGUGUUUAUUAGUUACAGAACCAACCCAGGCUCUGCCUGGUCUUGUGGUGAUUCAUAAUAACCGAACGAAUCGCAUGGCUCACGCCGGCGAUAAAUCAUUCAAGUUUCUGACCUAUCAGCUUCCGACGGUAGGGUAUUGGCCUACCGUGGCUAUGACGGGUAACGGGGAAUUAGGGUUCGAUUCCGGAGAGGGAGCCUGAGAAACGGCUACCACAUCCAAGGAAGGCAGCAGG